GUGCUCCCUUAGGCAGCACAUAUACUAAAAUUGGAACGACACAGAAGAUUAACAUGGCUCUUGCACAAGGAUGACAUGCAAAUUUGUGAAGUACUCCAUAUUUUA
rnacentral:snRNA from 1 species